GACGAAGGGGGCUAGCGUUGUUCGGAAUUACUGGGCGUAAAGCGCGUGUAGGCGGUUGUUCAAGUCGGGUGUGAAAGCCUUGAGCUCAACUCAAGAAAUGCACUCGAUACUGGAUGACUUGAGGACCGGAGAGGAUAGUGGAAUUCCCAGUGUAGUGGUGAAAUACGUAGAGAUUGGGAAGAACACCAGUGGCGAAGGCGGCUAUCUGGACGGUUUCUGACGCUGAGGCGCGAAAGCGUGGGGAGCAAACAGG
rnacentral:rRNA from 1 species